UGCGGAAGGAUCAUUGUCGAU
rnacentral:siRNA from 1 species